GACGAACGCUGGCGGCGUGCUUAACACAUGCAAGUCGAACGGAAAGGCCCCUUUGGGGGUACUCGAGUGGCGAACGGGUGAGUAACACGUGAGUAACCUGCCCUUGACUUCGGGAUAACUUCAGGAAACUGGGGCUAAUACCGGAUAGGAAUCCUUGCUGCAUGGUGGGGGUUGGAAAGCUUCGGCGGUUUUGGAUGGACUGGCGGGUUAUCAGCUUGUUGGUGGGGUAGUGGCUUACCAAGGCUUUGUCGGGUAGCCGGCCUGAGAGGGCGACCGGCCACAUUGGGACUGAGAUACGGCCCAGACUCCUACGGGAGGCAGCAGUGGGGAAUAUUGCACAAUGGGCGGAAGCCGGAUGCAGCAACGCCGCGUGCGGGAUGACGGCCUUCGGGUUGUAAACCGCUUUCAGCAGGGGCGAAGCUUGUGGUGACGGUACCUGCAGAAGAAGCACCGGCUAACUACGUG
rnacentral:rRNA from 1 species